AACAAAUGUAAUUUCGCACUAUUCUUAUCUAAUGUUUGACAUUUCAUCUUAUUUAAUUUUUUUUAUGAUUAGUAUUUUUAUUGUUAUUAGAUGAUAAGUCAUAAAUAGUAUUUUAUGUGUGACUAAUAUUUUUAAAUUUUUUUAUAAAUUUUUUUAAAUAAGACAGACGGUCAAACGUUGGAUACAUAUACCCUCGGCUAUAUUUAUU
rnacentral:pre_miRNA from 1 species